UGUAAGGAUCCUGUUUAAUCCAUGGUUAC
rnacentral:piRNA from 1 species